rnacentral:rRNA from 1 species
AGUGAACGCUGGCGGUAGGCCUAACACAUGCAAGUCGAACGGCAGCACAGUAAGAGCUUGCUCGUACGGGUGGCGAGUGGCGGACGGGUGAGGAAUACAUCGGAAUCUACUUUUCGUGGGGGAUAACGUAGGGAAACUUACGCUAAUACCUCAUACGACCUACGGGUGAAAGCAGGGGAUCUUCGGACCUUGCGCGUUUGAAUGAGCCGAUGUCGGAUUAGCUAGUUGGCGGGGUAAAGGCCCACCAAGGCGACGAUCCGUAGCUGGUCUGAGAGGAUGAUCAGCCACACUGGAACUGAGACACGGUCCAGACUCCUACGGGAGGCAGCAGUGGGGAAUAUUGGACAAUGGGCGCAAGCCUGAUCCAGCAAUACCGCGUGGGUGAAGAAGGCCUUCGGGUUGUAAAGCCCUUUUGUUGGGAAAGAAAAGCAGCAGGUUAAUACCCCGCUGUUCUGACGGUACCCAAAGAAUAAGCACCGGCUAACUUCGUG